CUUGCGAAAUGAGGUUAAUAAAGUCAAAGAAAGAAAACUACAAAAUAAAUUAAAAAAGCUGUAGGUUAUAAGUAGGUUGUAAGCCAGGGCCCCACGAAAAGAGAUUCGCCGUUCACACAGGGUUUUCCACUUUUCUAUAUUUCAGGUUUUUUUUAUUUAUAUAUUUUACAGGUAUUUUCCCGUUUCAGGUUUUUUCUAUUUUUUAGUCUAUUUUACAGGUUUCUUUUUUAUUUUUUCUUCUCUUUCAGCUAGCACCCGAGCCUAGAUUUUUAAAGCACUACAAUUUUUUCUUAAUCAUGAUGGAUUGAGAGUAGUGUUUUAAAAAUCAGGUAAAUCGCAAUGACUUAAUCGAUGUCAAUAUCGAAGUCGUGUGAGAAAUUGUUAUAGUAUGAGAACAAUUUCGUAAUUCGUGCUUUCAAAA